rnacentral:misc_RNA from 1 species
AAAGAAAAGAAAAGAAAAGAAAGCAUACAAAUGGCUGUUCUCUCUGCUUAAUUACCAUUGUUGUUUUAUGACAUAUACUGGUUACAUCUCUAUUCCUUCGGUUUUAAAAACCAAAGAAUGAUCUAAAUGGAAACUUGCCAUCCAAUUCUUUUCUUGCAUAGAUUUUCAGUUUGUGUAAAGGAGUCUUUAAAUCUCUUUCUAUGCUCGUUUCAGGUUUAGCC